rnacentral:rRNA from 1 species
GACGAACGCUGGCGGCGUGCUUAACACAUGCAAGUCGAACGGUGAAGGGACUGGUUUUGCUGGUCCUGGAUGAGUGGCGAACGGGUGGGUAACACGUGAGUAACCUGCCCCCUUCUUCUGGAUAACCGCAUGAAAGUGUGGCUAAUACGGGAUAUUCUGGGUCUGUCGCAUGGUGGGCCUGGGAAAGAUUGCGCCUUUUUUGGUGUUUUUGGUGGGGGAUGGGCUCGCGGCCUAUCAGCUUGUUGGUGGGGUGAUGGCCUACCAAGGCGGUGACGGGUAGCCGGCCUGAGAGGGUGGACGGUCACACUGGGACUGAGACACGGCCCAGACUCCUACGGGAGGCAGCAGUGGGGAAUAUUGCACAAUGGGCGCAAGCCUGAUGCAGCGACGCCGCGUGAGGGAUGGAGGCCUUCGGGUUGUGAACCUCUUUCGCCAGUGAAGCAGGCCUGCCUCUUUUUGUGGGUGGGUUGACGGUAGCUGGAUAAGAAGCGCCGGCUAACUACGUG